CGCCCGCCUGCCGGCCCCGCCCCCCAGCCGCCAUUGACAGUGUAGGCUCGCACUUCCUUGCAGAGGGAUGGCUGCGCUUCGGGCGGGCCCGGUAGCCCCGCAGUGUGCGCUGCUCUGGUAGCGGCUCGCAAGCGGGCGCGAUCCGGGCUCGCGGGUGCACAGGUGCGGCCCACGCCUCCCUCGGCGCCUCAGCACCUUCGGGGCGGGACGCGGGACGGUCUGAGAUUGGUCACAAUGGAGGCAAGCAAGCAGAUGCGGGUAUCCCGGCCAUACAAAAUCAGUGAGUCUUCAAAGGUGUACCACUGGCCUGACCACUCUACUGCGGUGCUGCAGCGGCUGAACGAGCAGCGGCUGCACGGCCUCUUCUGCGACGUGGUGCUGGUGGUCGAAGAGCAGCAAGUGCCAGCCCACCGCAACCUUCUGGCUGUGUGCAGCGACUACUUCAACUCCAUGUUCACACUGGGCAUGCGCGAAGCUUUCCAGAAGGAGGUGGAGCUGGUGGGCACCUCCUACGUGGGGCUCAAGGCCGUGGUAGAUUUCCUCUACAGCAGCGAGCUGGAGCUGGACGGCAGCAACAUUGACUACAUCCUGGAGACGGCGCAUCUGCUGCAGAUCUGGACCGUGGUGGAUUUCUGCUGUGAGUACCUGGAGCAGGAGGUGAGCGAGGACAACUAUCUCUACCUACAGGAGCUGGCCUCCAUCUACAGUCUCAAGAGGCUCGAUGCCUUCAUCGAUAGCUUCGUACUGAGCCACUUCAGCACGCUGUCCUUCACGCCUGACUUCCUGCAGUCCAUCUCCGUGCAGAAGCUGUGUGUCUACCUGAGCAGUGGCCAGGUACAGCACAAAUGGGAAUACGACCUGCUGCAGGUGGCUCUGCAGUGGCUCACGCAGCAGCCGGAGCGCGAGGUGCACACCCGCCGCGUUCUGGAGAACAUCCGCUUCCCCCUCUUCCCCGAGGACAUCCUGCUACAGCGGGUGAAGCUGGCCAUGUGCUCUCUGCUGCCCAGCGAGGCCAACGGCGAGGGCUUUGUGGAGGAGGCCAUGCACUACCACAACAGCCUGGUGGCCCAGCCUGUCCUGCAGACGAAGCGAACGCUGCUGCGCUCCGAGGAGUGCUUGCUCUUCGUGGGGGGCGAGGUCUCUGAGCGGUGUCUGGAGCUGAGCGAUGACACCUGCUACCUAGACACCAAGAAUGAGCAGUGGGUGAAGGAGACAUCCCUGCCGGCCCGCCGGAGCCACCACUGCGUCGCUGUGCUGGGGGGCUUCAUCUUCAUUGCCGGGGGCAGCUUCUCGAGAGACAACGGAGGGAAUGCCGCCUCCAACCUUCUUUAUAGGUGGCGUCCAUGAACCAGCGCCGUGUGGAUUUCUACCUAGCUUCCAUUGAAGACAUGCUGGUGGCUGUCGGUGGCCGGAACGAGAAUGGAGCGCUGUCUUCUGUAGAGACCUACAGCCCCAAGACCAACUCCUGGACCUACGUGGCCGGCUUGCCAAGGUUCACCUAUGGCCACGCGGGCACCAUCUACAAAGACUUUGUCUACAUCUCAGGGGGCCACGACUACCAGAUUGGCCCGUACCGCAAGAACCUGCUGUGUUAUGACCACCGGACAGACGUGUGGGAGGAGAGGCGGCCCAUGACAACAGCUCGGGGCUGGCACAGCAUGUGCAGCCUGGGCGACAGCAUCUACUCCAUCGGGGGCAGUGACGACCACAUGGAGUCCAUGGAGCGCUUCGAUGUGCUGGGCGUGGAGGCCUACAGCCCACAGUGCAACCAGUGGACUCGCGUGGCGCCGCUGCUGCAGGCCAACAGCGAGUCAGGCGUGGCCGUGUGGCAGGGCCGCAUCUACAUCCUGGGGGGGUACAGCUGGGAGAGCACAGCCUUCUCCAGGGCUGUGCAGGUGUAUGAUAGCGAGGCCAACAGGUGGAGCCGGGGUCCUGACCUCCCCAACGCCAUUGCGGGUGUGUCGGCCUGUGUGUGUGCCCUCAACCCAAGGCUGGAGGAAAAGAAGAAGAGGAACAAGGACAAAUGCCAGGACCGAGGUCAGUGACCCCGAGGCGCUCACAGAGGCGGCCGUCUCCGUGACAAUCCUCCACCCCACCCCCCUCCAGCAGCUUUUUGUACUUUUUUCAUUCCCGGUCUUUCUAUGCUACCACAGUAAAUAAUAAUUAAAUAUUCUUCACAAUUUCA